ACAAAGUCUCGGGUAAGAACGCGUCUCGUUCACUCCUAGUCCUCUUUGCCUUCUAUGUCACUCCCCCAAAAAGCCUGUCGUCCUUUGAAUUUUCUUGCCCUUUCCAUGCACCUAAUAACGUCACCCUAAGCAAGGUCCGAUCCUUCAUCAAUCCCACGAGAAGUUCCAGUUCUCUAGAUUCACCCUUUUAGUUUCUCUCUCUGAUCGGAUCACAAGAUUUCCAGACAAGUUCAUCG
rnacentral:lncRNA from 1 species